GGCCGGUUAGCACAAUUGGUAGUGUGUCUGACUACGACGGUUCCACCGGUUAUCAGGAGGUUGCGGGUUCGAGCCCCGUGCUGGUCA